UAAGACCUAUAUGGAUGACAAUUUCAUGCUGUACAGAGCAUAGGGUAGAUUUCCCAUGCUACACCUUGGAUAUACACUUAUUUAGAUCUAUUCGAUCAACCAAUCAUUAGAGCAUAGGAAGUGAGGUAAUUCACUCCUAGGUAUAAAUAGGCCAGAUAUAGCCUCUCCAGUUCACUUACCAUCCAGGAGAGGAGGCUGACACACAUCCAGAACCUUUUAGUCUGCUUUCCUCACUGGACAUUUUGUUUGGUGUUAUUGGCUUGACUUUAAAAUCCCUUGUGAACUUUCAUUAAUCUUGGAGGACACAAUCUAAUUGGUCAUUUGCCCCAUAAUUAAAUAAAGUACCUACAAGGAACCACAAUUAAGGAGCAGCUGAUUAGAAGUUCACGAGAGUUUUUAGUAUCAUUAUAGAUAUAUAUCACGUUUUAACACUCUUCACAGUGAGAUCAUCUUGUAGGAAAUUUGCUAAAGCAUUAUUCCACUGUGACUUGUACCCCUGAUGAAGUCCAUAAUGGACGAAACGCGUUGGGUUUUAUGAGAUAUAUAUAGCAUACACUGUUUCUGCAUAAAUGUGUAUUGUGCUUAUGGAACAACGUGUAUGACAAAUUUUAACGUGUAUUAAAAAUAAUCUUUCUAUCAUUCCGGUUAUGCUGGUUGGAUUUUACUUUGAGUAAUUAUUUCAAUUUUAAUUAUGCCAUUGUAUCUGUGCGCACUCUGAAUAUUUGUGUUAUAUUUUAUCUAUCGUCUCCCAC